ACUCCUACGGGAGGCAGCAGUGGGGAAUAUUGCACAAUGGGCGAAAGCCUGAUGCAGCGACGCCGCGUGAGGGAUGAAGGCCUUCGGGUCGUAAACCUCUUUCAGCAGGGAAGAAGCGCAAGUGACGGUACCUGCAGAAGAAGCACCGGCUAACUACGUGCCAGCAGCCGCGGUAAUACGUAGGGUGCGAGCGUUGUCCGGAAUUAUUGGGCGUAAAGAGCUCGUAGGCGGCUUGUCACGUCGGAUGUGAAAGCCCGGGGCUUAACCCCGGUCUGCAUUCGAUAGGCAGGCUAGAGUGUGGUAGGGGAGAUCGGAAUUCCUGGUGUAGCGGUGAAAUGCGCAGAUAUCAGGAGGAACACCGGUGGCGAAGGCGGAUCUCUGGGCCAUUACUGACGCUGAGGAGCGAAAGCGCGGGGAGCGAACAGGAUUAGAUACCCUGGUAGUCCACGCCGUAAACGGUGGGAACUAGGUGUUGGCGACAUUCCACGUCGUCGUGCCGCAGCUAACGCAUUAAGUUCCCCGCCUGGGGAGUACGGCCGCAAGGCUAAAACUCAAAGGAAUUGACGGGGGCCCGCACAAGCAGCGGAGCAUGUGGCUUAAUUCGACGCAACGCGAAGAACCUUACCAAGGCUUGACAUAUACCGGAAACGGCCAGAGAUGGUCGCCCCCUUGUGGUCGGUAUACAGGUGGUGCAUGGUUGUCGUCAGCUCGUGUCGUGAGAUGUUGGGUUAAGUCCCGCAACGAGCGCAACCCUUGUUCUGUGUUGCCAGCAUGGGGUGAUGGGGACUCACAGGAGACUGCCGGGGUCAACUCGGA
rnacentral:rRNA from 1 species